GAGGGUACAGCUCAGCAGUAGAGCAUGUGCUUAGCAUGCACGAGGGUCCUGGGUUCAAUCCCCAGUACUUCUG
rnacentral:tRNA from 1 species